AGGAUGAACGCUGGCGGUAUGCUUAACACAUGCAAGUCGAACGGGAUGCUUUCGAGCAUUUAGUGGCGGACGGGUGAGUAACGCGUGAGGAACUACCUACAGGACUGGGACAACAACUGGAAACGGUUGCUAAAACCGGAUGUGCCGAGAGGUGAAAUAUUUUAUAGCCUGUAGAUGUGCUCGCGUCUGAUUAGCUAGUUGGUUAGGUAAAGGCUGACCAAGGCGACGAUCAGUAGCUGGUCUGAGAGGAUGAUCAGCCACACUGGGACUGAGACACGGCCCAGACUCCUACGGGAGGCAGCAGUGGGGAAUUUUCCGCAAUGGGCGCAAGCCUGACGGAGCAAUACCGCGUGAGGGAGGAAGGCUCUUGGGUCGUAAACCUCUUUUCUCUGGGAAGAAUAACUGACGGUACCAGAGGAAUCAGCAUCGGCUAACUCCGUGCCAGCAGCCGCGGUAAUACGGGGGAUGCAAGCGUUAUCCGGAAUUAUUGGGCGUAAAGCGUCCGCAGGUGGUUAAUCAAGUCUGUUGUUAAAGCGCGGAGCUCAACUCCGUAAAGGCGAUGGAAACUGAUUGACUAGAGUUAGGUAGGGGUAAGAGGAAUUCCCAGUGUAGCGGUGAAAUGCGUAGAUAUUGGGAAGAACACCGGCGGCGAAAGCGUCUUACUGGGCCUAAACUGACACUGAGGGACGAAAGCUAGGGGAGCGAAAGGGAUUAGAUACCCCUGUAGUCCUAGCCGUAAACGAUGACAACUAGGUGUUGCCCGUAUCGACCCGGGCAGUGCCGUAGCUAACGCGUUAAGUGUCCG
rnacentral:rRNA from 1 species